rnacentral:lncRNA from 1 species
CCUCCCUCUCAUUUUAUUUAUAUAUAAAAUUUUAUUUAUUAAUAUUUUUAAAUGAUAUUAUUAAUAUAUAUUUAUUAUAAUUUUAAAUAUAUUUAAUUUAUAUAUAAAAAUUAUAAUAAUAAUAUAUAUAGUAUACUAAUUAUUAUAUAUUUAUUAUAUAGCCGAAUUUUUGAUCCCGAAUUUUUAAUUGAUAAACGUAUAAUACCCAUAUAAAUCACGUAUCUGAAUAAUUACCGAAUCCGUUUUUUAGCUGUAUUUUUCAACGAAUUUAAAACUUAAAAGACAAAUUUUAUCCGAAUUAUACCCGUACCGAAUUUUUGCCGAAUCCGAAUUAACUAACUAUGGUUCCACCAUGCAAAUUUUUACAUUUUU